ACGCGAUCAAAAUUGAUUUCAUAAACAACCUGUAUUGUGCGAUUAUUAUGGCUCAGGCUUCUACACAGAUUUGUCGCCUGUGUACCCAGAACAGUGGUGUUUAUUACUGUUAUGAAUGUCAAAAUGUAUUAUGUACAAUAUGCCGAGAACGACACGAUUUGGUCCAAACUACAAGUGGGCAUACGAUUACAAAUACCAGCACCAUAGACAUUGCAGAUUUCAGUAAGACGUCCAAAUGUCGUACACACGAUAAAGAAUUUGUUUACAUCUGCGAAAUGUGCAAUGAUUUUAUUUGCUCUAAAUGUGUAAUAUCAACACACAAAGAUCAUUCAUUCUUGGAAAUUGCUGGAGUGGUGUCAGAGGAAAGAGAAAAAGCCAAACGACAAAUUACUGAUUUAAGCGCCAAAGUUGAUGCAAUACCAAUCAUCCAGGAUAAAGUGAGAGGCUACAUCGACCAACUCCAUGUUGAUAGCAAAAACUGCAUUGUGACCAUAGAUUCUGUCUGUGUAGAUCUACAGACCUUUAUCGAAACAAAAAAGAAUAUAAAAGUAACAGAAGUCGAAGAUUAUGAAAUCUUGGAGCAUCAGAGCUACGAAGCAUUCAUGAAAAAUAAUGAGCUGACACAUAAACGAUACACGCAAAUAAAAUCCGAAUUAGAGAAUCUACUUUUUGAAAAACAUGACAACACAUUUCACUCAUGUUAUGGAGUAAUUGACAUCGAUAUUCAAACUUUAGUAAAUAUACCCGCCGAACCAUUAAUGACACAAGUACAGUCUUUUGAAAAUAAAAUGUUGUAUAAAGAAAUCACAGAAUAUAUGGAAUCAAAAGUUGACCACAGCUUGUGUCGGAUGUGUCCAGUUCAUCAAAAGAGAAUUGACAAGAUACUGAAAGAAAACGAGAGUUUGAAAGUAAAUAUUCAAAGGUACACAAAACAGAUGAUACAAAAGGAAGAUGAAAAUAGAAGACUGAAAUUAGAAAAUGAAUGUCUAAAGGCUAAGUGUACCAAACAGAUAACACAAAAGAAUGAGGAAAUCAGGAGCAUGAAAGGGGAAAUUGAAUGUCUUAUGGCUAGGUGCACCAAACAGAUGACACAAAAAGAUGAGGAAAUCAGAAGCAUGAAAGGGGAAAUUGAAUGUCUUAUGGCUAAAUAUACAAAACAGAUGAUAGAAAAGGAUGGUGAAUACAAAAGCCUGAAAGGAGGAUUUGAAUGUUUUAAGACUGAGUGUACACAACAUAUGUCACAAAAAGAAGAUGAAAUCAGAAGCCUGAAAAGGGAAAUGGAAUUUCGAAUGGCUAAGUGUACAAAUCAGAAGACACACAAGGACAAUGAAAUUAUAGGCCUGAAACGGAAAUUGGAAACUCUGAAAGAUAAGUGUACAAAUCAGAAGACAUACAAGGACAAUGAAAUUAGAGGCCUGAAACGGAAAUUGGAAACUCUGAAUGAUAACCUGCGUCAAAGAAAUACAGAUCAAACGAAUAGUCUUUUGCUGACUGCUCUUUUCGUAUUGUUUCUUUUAAUCAUUGUGUUGUAUGUGCUUCCUCGACCUAUGACGUUUUGCCUUCUCAUUUUUCCUGUAUCUUCUUACUUUUGAGAAAUUUGUUUAUCGUGUUUUAUCGUUAAAUGAGUAUUAUUGCAUUAUCUAUUGAAUAAAAAUUACUGUACAACUUUAUAACUAAAAUUUGACAACCCUUACUGUGGAAUUGUAUUCUGCAAUAACAUUAAUGAGACCAAUUUUACCGCACCUGAUGCGCAUGCCAGUGAUGCUCGAGAACAAAAUAUUUGACAAACUGAAAACCCUAGGCAAAUGAUGAAGACCUGAUGAAAUCAUAAAAGGACCAUGAUAUAGUCAAAUCAGGAUAUUAGAGCUGCGCUUUGUGUGAGGGAGAUUUAUCUAUUAAUCUAAAAUAAAAAUAUAUAUAUAUUUAUAUUGCAGCAAGUUUCAAACAAACAAUAUCCGUAUUUUACUAGGCUGAUGUAAAACAUAAUUAGCUGUUGAAGUUGACUUUUGUUGAAGUUGUAUACAUACACAUGCAGAUUGAACAAAUUUGGGCCAAUUGAAAAGUUGUCAAUGUAUUUUUUACUCCUGGAAAAAGAAAAAAAAUCAAAUUAAAUUGGCAAUCUCAAUGCAGCUUUCAUCGAUUAUUUUGACUUGUCAUGCUACUUCUUGGUAUAUAUAUAUAUAUUUUUAUUGUGUCUGUAUCCAUGCCUAUGUAUGUAAAUAUCAAUAUUCUGUGAAAAUAAGAACCCAAAAGGAGCAGGGACAUUAAGGCCCGGUGUUGGGCCAAACAAUAAUUUUUUCAGAUUUCACAUGCAUAAAAUGUAGAAAUAUAGAUGAGUUACAUAAGAUUGUGGUGUUAUGACAUCACAAUUACGUCAUAAUACGCACCGUUUUCAUGAAAAUCAUAAAAACAAGAAUUUAUGCAGUUUUCCAUCGUUAUUUCUUUUGUGGAAACAUCGUGCACAGUCAAGAAACAAAACAAGUUUAAGAGGUGCUUUAUCAUAACUAUAAACAUAAUGUCAUCAUAUAUGAAAAAAAAAUUUGUUUGUGGCCUUACAUAUUUCAAUGUUGUGAUAAAACAAAACCCCGAUUAAUUGUAUUAUGAAGAAUCAACAUCUACAACCUUCCGAUUGACCUUGUGGCUGCAACUAAUUCACAGGAAAUAUGUAUUAUCCCUUCAUAAUUCUAAAUAAAAAGAUUUCUGUACUUUGAUUACAAACUAUAACGUUCUCAAUAGAAAAUGUACUAAACUUGUCAGUUUUUUUUACCUUAUGAGUUUGUAUGUCCCUUUGGUAUCUUUCGCCUCUCUAUUUGAACAUAGAAAAAUUAAAUUUAUUCUCUUUCUUGCGUCAUGGAUAACCUAGACUUAACAAUCUAACUGGUAACGACUGGCCUUUGAUACGCUCUGUUUAGUUUAUGGAUUGAAAAAGAGGCAGAAUAUACCAAUGAGAUAAUUAAACUAUAAGAAAUAAAGGCAAAUAGUCAAAAAGAAAAACGACGAAAAGACAAAUAACAGUUUAUAAAGCAUUACACAAAAACGAACACUAAUAGCUCCUCAAACUUGAGUAAUGAUAGACUGUUAAGUUUGCACUUAAAUUUAAAAAAAAAAUGCUUCAGAUCACAGUCAACAUUUUUUAUUAAAGGAAUCCACCGAAAUUUGAAAAAUAUCCACAUUUAUAUGUAACAUUAUUUAAUAGAUUUACAAUGCAGAUGAAACAACAGAAUGCUGAAAUCGGGAACCUGAGACGGGAAAUCGAACAUUUAAAGGCUAACUACCUGAGAUGUAAUAGAUUUGGCAAUUAUGGUCAUGUUGCUAGAGAAUGCCAAAGUACCUGUCGUGUUGAAU